rnacentral:lncRNA from 1 species
UUCAUGUUCACCUCUAGUUCUUGGCAUUCUCUAUCAGGAUUCAUUGUGUUAACAAGUGAGUUUGAACAGUAUUUCGGGAAUCUGUUGGAGAUGGUUUCAAGAUGUAGAACUCUUAUAUGUGAAGUAUCCCUAAUGAAGUUGGAACAUCCACGUUGAAAUUGCUUCAUGUUUUGAUAGAAACCCAUUCCUAUUAAGGUCAGAAUCACUG